GGGCCCGUAGCCUAGCAAGGAUAAGGCGCCGGGCUUCGGACCCGGAGAUCGUGGGUUCGAAUCCCACCGGGCCCA
rnacentral:tRNA from 2 species